AAUGAUGGGAAUUUAAACCUCUUCCAGAGUAUCAAUUGGAGGGCAAGUCUGGUGCCAGCAGCCGCGGUAAUUCCAGCUCCAAUAGCGUAUAUUAAAAUUGUUGCAGUUAAAAAGCUCGUAGUUGAAUUUCUGCUGCAUUGCUUUUGCUCCUUUACGAGUCUUUGCAUUGUGGCUUAUUUCGGACUUUGUUUUACAAUGUCCGGAUGUUUACUUUGAGAAAAUUAGAGUGCUCAAAGCAGGCUUUCGCCUUGAAUAGUUUAGCAUGGAAUAAUAAAGUAGGACUUUGGUUCUAUUUUGUUGGUUUUAGGUACCAAAGUAAUGGUUAAUAGGAACAGUUGGGGGCAUUCGUAUUUAACUGUCAGAGGUGAAAUUCUUAGAUUUGUUAAAGACGAACUACUGCGAAAGCAUUUGCCAAGGAUGUUUUCAUUAAUCAAGAACGAAAGUUAGGGGAUCGAAGACGAUCAGAUACCGUCGUAGUCCUAACCAUAAACUAUGCCGACUAGAGAUUGGAGGUCGUCAGUUUUUACGACUCCUUCAGCACCUUGAGAGAA
rnacentral:rRNA from 1 species